rnacentral:tRNA from 1 species
GCCGGGGUGGCGGAAUUGGUAGACGCACAGGACUUAAAAUCCUGCGGAUGGUUUCAUCCGUGCCGGUUCGACUCCGGCCCUCGGCA